ACUCCUACGGGAGGCAGCAGUGGGGAAUAUUGCACAAUGGGCGCAAGCCUGAUGCAGCCAUGCCGCGUGUAUGAAGAAGGCCUUCGGGUUGUAAAGUACUUUCAGCGGGGAGGAAGGCGAUAAGGUUAAUAACCUUGUUGAUUGACGUUACCCGCAGAAGAAGCACCGGCUAACUCCGUGCCAGCAGCCGCGGUAAUACGGAGGGUGCAAGCGUUAAUCGGAAUUACUGGGCGUAAAGCGCACGCAGGCGGUCUGUCAAGUCGGAUGUGAAAUCCCCGGGCUCAACCUGGGAACUGCAUUCGAAACUGGCAGGCUAGAGUCUUGUAGAGGGGGGUAGAAUUCCAGGUGUAGCGGUGAAAUGCGUAGAGAUCUGGAGGAAUACCGGUGGCGAAGGCGGCCCCCUGGACAAAGACUGACGCUCAGGUGCGAAAGCGUGGGGAGCAAACAGGAUUAGAUACCCCUGUAGUCCCAU
rnacentral:rRNA from 1 species